rfam:Canis lupus familiaris chromosome 17, whole genome shotgun sequence.
GCAUAGCUGGCUCAGUUGGUAGAGCAUGUGACUCUUGAUCUCAGGGUGGUGAGUUAAAGCCUCUUGUUGAGCA